rnacentral:rRNA from 1 species
CCUACGGGUGGCAGCAGUGAGGAAUAUUGGGCAAUGGACGAGAGUCUGAACCAGCCAAGUAGCGUGAAGGAUGACUGCCCUCUGGGCUGUAAACUUCUUUUAUAUGGGAAUAAAAUGUUCCACGUGUGGGAUUUUGUAUGUAACAUAUGAAUAAGGAUCGGCUAACUCCGUGCCAGUAGCCGCGGUAAUACGGAGGAUCCGAGCGUUAUCCGGAUUUGUUGGGUUUAAAGGGAGCGUAGGUGGAUUGUUAAGUCAGUUGUGAAAGUUUGCGGCUCAAACGUAAAUUUGCAGUUGAAACUGGCAGUCUCGAGUACAGUAGGGGUGGGCGGAAUUCGUGGUGUAGCGGUGAAAUGCGUAGAUAUCACGAAGAACUCCGAUUGCGAAGGCAGCUCACUGGACUGCAACUGACACUGAGGCUCGAAAGUGUGGGGAUCAAACAGGAUUAGAUACCCCUGUAGUC